rnacentral:rRNA from 1 species
AGUGAACGCUGGCGGUAUGCCUAACACAUGCAAGUCGAACGGCAGCACAGUAAGAGCUUGCUCUUACGGGUGGCGAGUGGCGGACGGGUGAGGAAUACAUCGGAAUCUACUUUUUCGUGGGGGAUAACGUAGGGAAACUUACGCUAAUACCGCAUACGACCUACGGGUGAAAGCAGGGGAUCUUCGGACCUUUCGCGAUUGAAUGAGCCGAUGUCGGAUUAGCUAGUUGGCGGGGUAAAGGCCCACCAAGGCGACGAUCCGUAGCUGGUCUGAGAGGAUGAUCAGCCACACUGGAAGUGAGACACGGUCCAGACUCCUACGGGAGGCAGCAGUGGGGAAUAUUGGACAAUGGGCGAAAGCCUGAUACAGCAAUACCGCGUGGGUGAAGAAGGCCUUCGGGUUGUAAAGCCCUGUUGUUGGGAAAGAAAAGCAGCAGGUUAAUACCCCGCUGUUCUGACGGUACCCAAAGAAUAAGCACCGGCUAACUUCGUG